rnacentral:lncRNA from 13 species
UGCUUACUGUGAUGAUAACCUUGUUCCCUGUAGCAUGAACAUCCUUCUCUGGGCAAGAAGAUGAGGAAAUUAUUUAUCCCCCACUCUAUCCAUCCAAACAGUUACUAUUGACAGGACUCCAAGCAGUAGAAUGAGGCCAACCUGUGAAACUGACCUCAGUCGUGUUCUGCCUCACCACCCCAUCCAGUCCUGGACUCAACCAGCUGAACAAAUCCCUAAACCACCAAGUCUACCUUAGAACACCAGGUGCUGUAGGAAUUUUCCAAGGCUACAGGUCUGGCCUCAACAAGUUGCCUACAAUGUCAGUCUCUCAUUCUCCAUUCUGGAGGCUGCAAGUCCAAGAUCAAGGUGUCUGCAUCGUUGGUUGCUUCUGGCGGCUGUUGAGAAAGAAUGUGUUCUAGUCCUCCCACCUAUCAUCUAAAGGUUUGCUGAAAAUCACCUUUGUGUUUCUUGGUAUAUCCAACUAAUACUGCCUCUCUGCCUUCAUCUUCACAUGAUGUUCUUCCUGGUGUCUCUAUGUUCAAAUUUCUCCUUUGUAUAAGGACACCAGGCAUAUGGCAUUA